rnacentral:ncRNA from 15 species
ACCUUCCUUGUCUGGGGGAGCUGAGUGUUCAAUGAUCAACUAGUGAGACCACUUCUGCUAGCACCCAAACAUUUUUCUCAUCGCACCCGCGCCAAGUGCAGCGAGUGCAAUUUUUGGAAAG